CUAAGAAAUUUUGAAAAAAAAUCACCGGCAAACUAUAUUAACAGAUUAAUUUUCAAAUCUAAUAUAUCAAGCUAUUAUAGAAUAUAUAAGUGCAUACUUGAAUUAUAAAUGUAUGCCUAGUAUAUAUUCACCAGUUCGGUCAAAAAAUCAUCUAAUUCUAGAACAUCAAAACAAAUUACUUAUUUCACCAGUUCGGGUAAUAUUUGAAUCCAAACGGGUAAUAUCCGAAUCUGAAUAGAUUUCUGAAGAUAACCAAACAUAAGUAUACUUAACCCUAUAUUUCUAGUUUACUUCUCUCAUUUUAUUCAAAAUAUUUAUAUUAAUGAUGCUUAUUGCUCAAAAAUAGAUAAUAUACAUAAAAUUAAGGACAAAAUUAUUCGCUACUCACUUAAAAUAUAUAUCAAGCUCUUGUUUCUUGCAUUAACAAAAGUUGCAUCUAAAAUUUCAAAAAAAAACUAAACUAGUGUCUUUCUAUUUUUAAAGUUUUAUCUCCAAACCUAUUAAUAGUUUAAUUUUUUA
rnacentral:lncRNA from 1 species